rnacentral:rRNA from 1 species
ACUCCUACGGGAGGCAGCAGUGGGGAAUAUUGGACAAUGGGCGAAAGCCUGAUCCAGCCAUGCCGCGUGUGUGAAGAAGGUCUUCGGAUUGUAAAGCACUUUAAGUUGGGAGGAAGGGCAGUAAGUUAAUACCUUGCUGUUUUGACGUUACCAACAGAAUAAGCACCGGCUAACUUCGUGCCAGCAGCCGCGGUAAUACGAAGGGUGCAAGCGUUAAUCGGAAUUACUGGGCGUAAAGCGCGCGUAGGUGGUUCAGCAAGUUGGAUGUGAAAUCCCCCGGGCUCAACCUGGGAACUGCAUCCAAAACUACUGAGCUAGAGUACGGUAGAGGUGUGGAAUUUCCUGUGUAGCGGUGAAAUGCGUAGAUAUAGGAAGGAACACCAGUGGCGAAGGCGACCACCUGGACUGAUACUGACACUGAGGUGCGAAAGCGUGGGAGCAAACAGGAUUAGAUACCCCUGGUAGGAUAGCG